rnacentral:rRNA from 1 species
CAGCAGCCACGGUAAUACGUAGGUGGCAAGCGUUGUCCGGAAUUAUUGGGCGUAAAGCGCGCGCAGGUGGUUUAAUAAGUCUGAUGUGAAAGCCCACGGCUCAACCGUGGAGGGUCAUUGGAAACUGUUAAACUUGAGUGCAGGAGAGAAAAGUGGAAUUCCUAGUGUAGCGGUGAAAUGCGUAGAGAUUAGGAGGAACACCAGUGGCGAAGGCGGCUUUUUGGCCUGUAACUGACACUGAGGCGCGAAAGCGUGGGGAGCAGACAGGAUUAGAUACCCCAGUAGUCCCUGUCUCUUAUAU